UACGACUACAUAUCAGGCAUAUCAAUAAGCGGAGGAAAAGAAACUAACAAGGAUUCCCCUAGUAACGGCGAGUGAAGCGGGAAGAGCUCAAAUUUGAAAUCUUAAAGGGUUUCCCUUUACGAAUUGUAGUUUAAAGAAGUGUUUUCUGUUGGAGUUUCGGUAAAAGUUCUUUGGAAUAGGACAUCAUAGAGGGUGAGAAUCCCGUAUUUGACCGUUACUUUCCAGCUGUGUGAUACACUUUCAAAGAGUCGGAUUGUUUGGGAAUGCAGUCCAAGAUGGGUGGUAAAUUUCAUCUAAAGCUAAAUAUUGGCGAGAGACCGAUAGCGAACAAGUACCGUGAGGGAAAGAUGAAAAGAACUUUGAAAAGAGAGUUAAACAGUACGUGAAAUUGUCAAAUAGGGAAGCGUUUGACACCAGUGUUGUUUUCUCGAAAAUCAAUUAAAAAUGGCCGGAUUUUGUGUUGUAUUGACUUUAUCAGCUUUCUGCACUUUUUUCUUGUCUUUUUUAAUGCACUUUUCGUUUAACAAGUCAACAUCAGUUUCUUUUGUUGUAAAAAGGUCAUUGGAAGGUGGCUUUCUUUUCGGAGAAAGUGUUUAUAGCCUUUGACUUCUGCAAUCGGAGAGAUUGAGGUCUGCAGCGUAGAUCCUUCUGGAUUAGAUCACUUUGUGCUAAGUUAUAGCUUUUCAUAGACAACUUGUUGACUAUGUUUAGUCUUGUAGCUUACUCGCUUAUGCUAUUUUACCUACGCUUAGGAUGUUG
rnacentral:rRNA from 1 species